GAUUGAUCAUUAUCCUUUCUUUUUGAUCCUUCACUUCUGAGUUCCUUUAAUAGUGCUAACUUGCACCUUUCUUGGGACCCCUCAGCAUAUGAACACAGCCUAAAGCAAAACGAUUCAUCACAUAAGUGUCUAAACUGUGUAAGCUAAAGAUGAUUGGAUCCACAAAGAAUGAAUGAAAUCCUAACUCAAAAACUUAUUGAACCCUUUCAAACAAGACCAUCAAGCUGAAUUUGACCGAAUCACUAAGAUUUCAAAGCAGCACAAACAAUACUUGCCUGCCAGUGUUACUAGACCUUGAAUAUCUCCUGAUUGUCACACCACAACAUUAAUGCUGACAAAAGAGCCACUGUAGCAGUUUCAACUCGUAGACGAUGUGGUCCAAGACCAACAGCAGUUGCCCCAGCCUCCAGAAUCACGUUUAACUCUCCCUCUGUGAAGUCUAUAAUGGAGUGUGUUCACAAUAAUCAUACACAGCAGAAAACAUAAGUAUAAAUUAUCUAUAUCUGAAUACUGUAUGUAAGAUUGUCUAGUGUCCACAAGCUUUUCUUUGUUUUUGGUUCCAAUUUCUUUAUUAUAAUUGUUGUUAACCGUUCUUGAGCACUCUUACUUCUAGAUAAUGAGGACAAAAUAAGAGGGUCUAAACCCACUUCAGCUUGCAAGAUUGGACUGGUGUACUAUAGGCGAUAGGUAUAAGCACCACAAUAUGUGAAGCCAAAUCAUACUAAAACAAACUCUGUAUUGUACAAAGUACUUCCUGCAGUGCGAGAAAGAUAAAUAGAGUUUGUGGUUAGAGUCA